rnacentral:rRNA from 1 species
UACUUAGGGUGCAAGCGUUGUCCGGAAUUAUUGGGCGUAAAGAGCUCGUAGGCGGUUUGUCGCGUCUGCUGUGAAAACUCGGGGCUCAACUCCGAGCUUGCAGUGGGUACGGGCAGACUAGAGUGCGGUAGGGGAGACUGGAAUUCCUGGUGUAGCGGUGGAAUGCGCAGAUAUCAGGAGGAACACCGGUGGCGAAGGCGGGUCUCUGGGCCGUAACUGACGCUGAGGAGCGAAAGCGUGGGGAGCGAACAGG